ACACACACACACACACAAGGGAAGGAAUGAAACAAAAAAAGGAGGGGAGCAACAACGGAAGGACUAGAGGAUGGACACAACAGAGGCGAUCUAGGGAUCGUACACCGUCUUUGUUUUCCUUUUCCUCCCUCCUCUUUUUGU
rnacentral:ribozyme from 11 species